CAGAUACAUCAUCAGCUAUAAUACAUGUUUACCAAGUUCCGGAGGUCGCCACGGUUUCCACUCAGAACAAGCUUCGGUGAAUUUAAGUAUUGUCCGGUUGUUAGUCUGCACUGUGUAGGCCUGUGUCUGUGUGAAGAAUGGUAUGCAAAAUACAAUAGUGUCAUAAUGAUCGCAAUAUUAUGUUUGAUGGCAAUGAUUAUUCCCAGUUUGCAUUGCUAAAUGCGCAAUCAUGAUUCAAAAUAGCUGCAUUAUGUUUGUCAAAAUAAUUGCAAUGUAAGCCAAUGCUUUAGAAUAAUCUACAUGUUGUUUAUCGUCUCUAAAGAUGACUUAAUUAGUAGUUAUGUUUUACCAAGUUUAAUGGCUGGCAUUUGGAUGUUAAGAAGAUUAAGACGCAGCAAAACGAUCUGUGUGAAAAAUAUGUCCAAAAAAGGCCAACAUUUGUAACUGACUAGCGUUGAGGAUUUUGUAGCAACAAGAGCUCUGUAAAACAGAUGUCCAAAAAAGACUGCCUCUGCAAAGUAAU